CGCGGGGCUCGAACUCCCGGACCCCGAGAUCGUGACCUGGCUGAAGUCGGACGCUUAACCGACUGCGCCACCCAGGCGCCCCAGCAGAGAGCUUUUCAGGGGUUUGGACCAGGUUUCCCAAACACCCAGCUGUAUCAUAAGGACCCUUUGGCUUGCAACAGGCUGCCUGCCCACUCACCCACAGACCCAGCCACCAGUUGUUGCAAUUCCUGGCCCAGGUCCGCCCCCUGCAUCCGGGAGGGCUCUUCACCUCUGACCCCAGAAGGUAGGUCAGACCCUUUCCCUGCCUCUCCAACGUCCAUCCCCGCUCUGCCCUCAUACCCACAAGGGAGAGAUGCCAGAGCCCCUGGAGGGUGAGGUCUUCUGAGGAAAGCGGGUGCUUCUGUGCGGCCAUGUACAACGGGGCGGUACUCCGGGGCAAGAAUGUGGCCUCAGGUCGAGUGAGGGGUGCAAAGGUAGGGGAACGCAAGCCUCUUGAACCUCUGGGUCCCCUGCUGUGCGUAAGGCACAGGGGCCUUUGUCCCGCUCACUGGAGUUCAGGCCCCAGCUGGUAAAUAAAAUGACAUUUUCCUCCCUUUACCA
rnacentral:lncRNA from 1 species